CAUCAGGAGGUCAGAGGAUUGCAGGGUGUUUCAUCAGGCAGCACCAAAGGGUCAGGGGUCAGCAUCAGGCAGCACCACUGGGUCAGAGGUCAGCUUCAGGCAGCAUCAAAGGGUCAGGGGUCAGCAUCAGGAGGCCCGAGGAUUGCAGAGUUUGAUCAGGCCCGAAACGUCAGCUUUUGUGCUCCUAAGAUGCUGCUUAGCCUGCCGUGUUCAUCCAGCUUCACACUUUGUUAUCAUAGACAGGAUGGUCAGAUGAGCGGAUGUCCAAAUGGAAUUUAAUCCUGAAAAGUAUGAGGAGCAAUAUUUACAGAGCAGCAAUGGUGAGCAAGAUCAACAGGAAGACUCCUGAACAAACAGUGAUAUCUAUGGCAUGCCUGGUGCUCGUCAUAUUUGCUGACCCGACCAAAAAACAACUCAAAUCUUCGUGAAUUGAAGGUUCAAAACCAAGUGCAGAAGGGAAGCUUCAGAAGUCUAUUAAUGCCAAACCACUUUGUUAAACACCAAAUUUACUCAACAUUUCAGAAAAAUAAAUAUAUGCAUAAAGUGCAGCAACUUCUCAAA